UUAACGAAAUAACGAAAUUCAGUUCCAAAUUCAUUUUGUUUGCGGGCAGUCGAAACAUUUAAAAUGGGCGGAUUAAAAUUUAACGGAGUUUUCUUACUGAUGGUCCUUCAAAUAUUCUUGGUGGCUACAACAACUGGAGAUGAAACGUGUGAAGACCGAAAAUUGGAAGAACAGUGUCGCUUUCAUAACUACAAGACUGUCAAACCUUUGCUAGAUUACUUCAGGCAGGUUAGAAAUGAGUUAGAACAAAGUGAAACUAAGGAAAAACAGAUAAGUGAAUUAAAUUCUGAUCUUAUGGAAAAAUAUCAUGAAAUUGUAAGAAUUCAUGAAACAUUCAUGAAGGAGGCAGCUCUAUUAAAUGAGUAUAAAAAACAAAGUAAUCAAUGGGGAAAACGAUUUGCAAUUGUGUCAAAAUAAAGUUGAUAAAUCUGAAUCUGAAAUUAAUUCACAACAAAGUAUUAUUCUUAAAUUAAAAGAACAACUAACAGAUAAAUCCACCAACUUAGAAAAUUGUCAAGUUCAAUUAAAAUCUCUUAAUUCUACAUUAAUUGAAAAAGAUGAAAAUAUAAGGAUAUUUAGUGAGAAUAUUAAAAAUAACACAGAACAUCAGAAUACACUUGAGUUGGAAUUUGAAGAGAGUAAAUCUAAAUUAAUAAAUCAUGAAAAAGAUAUUCAGUUAUGUCGUUCAGAAAUCAACGAAUUAAAUAGGACAUCAGAGAGCAUUAAGGAAGAACAGAAAAAGAUUCAAUUGAUAUUAAAAGAAUGUGAAACUAAGCUAAUAGAUAAAGUAAAUGAAACUAAGCUAAAUCAAUCUGAACUUGAUAAAUUAAGUGCCACAACAUGCAUCCCUCAUGCAUCAGGAGUUCAUCAACUCAAUGUCUCCGGCAUAGGUUUAUUCAAUGUUUUAUGCGAUAGUCAGUUAGCUGGACCUGGAUGGAUUGUAAUACAACAACGAGUUGGGGGGAAAUGAGAAUUUCACUAGGGAUUGGGCAACGUAUCGCAAAGGUUUCGGUUCUUUUGGAAGUGAUUUCUUUCUUGGUUUAGAGAAAAUACAUCGUAUCACGAGCUUGCAGCGUUUCGAACUUUACAUACAUUUGGUUGCUCUGAAUGGAAAUACCUACAACGCUCGCUAUGAUGACUUCAAAAUAUCUGAUGAAGAUAAUGGAUAUGCACUGAGUUUGGGUAAAUUCAGUGGAACUUUUAUUGGGGAUGGCUUGAGAUACAAUGAAAACAUGAAAUUCACAACAUUCGAUCACGACAACGACAAAGUUGAUAAUGGUAAUUGCGCAGUCUGGUAUAAAAGUGGCUGGUGGUACAAUUAUUGUUCUCAUUGUAAUUUAAAUGCACCAUAUGGUAGUCUAUAUUGGAACUAUGGGUUAAUUUUACUUAAAGAAGUUAAGAUGCUAAUUCGCCCCAAAGAAGAGACGAAGAAGUGAUAAACUGAAAAGCUGCAAUUCCCAUAUUUGACUCAAUUAUGUAAUCAUUUAUAUUUGAUUGGUGCCUUAAGAAAAAUAUAACGAUCGACUAUUUAAUGCAGCGAUUUAUUUAUUGAAUG